AUUUCUGGGCUGAAAAGAUAUGGCUUGAUGGGUAAUUUGUCAUGCUGUGCAAUAGAGAGCAACAGUAAAGAGACUUCAGACAGAAGAAAAUUACACAAAUAGUAGGGUGGAAAGGUAUAAUUGAAGAUGGCAAAAGACUGAAAGAAAGACAUUUAAAAUUACUGUACUGACCUACUAAAUGCACUUGGGCGUGGAAUCCUGGCCCCACAAGAAGAGGCAUUAAAUGACUGCAGGCUGUGUCACUGCUACAGGAUAAUGCCAAUCUUAUGGAGCUCUUAGAGGAUAAAAAACAUCCAGUGUUAGCUGAAAAAAAUCAGACCCUUGAUUUUUGCAUGCAUGCACAGCCUGAACAAAUAGUGAAUUUACAACAAGGGAAAAUUUACAUAUGGCCAAGCUGGUACCUGGUACCUGGACCCAUAGAACCAAGACCUCGCCGCCUUCUCAUGAACUGCACGAGGACUCGUCCUCUGCCACCGGGACAUGUGCUGCACUGUGUCUGUAGACAGCCCUAGUGAACUAUGGCUACCUGAAACACCAGAAAAUCAUACUGAAAUGAGCUUCCCAAUGUUUCCUCAUUGUGGGUACAGUAUACUGGCACAACAGGGAAAGCACUGCUGAUUUAACAGUUUUCCAGGUUCCUGAAGCACCCACUCUGCAUGAAGCCUGAACUAAAGAAAGCCAGAGCAGCUGCAGAAUGAGGCACUAUCCCACUGCAGAGAUACACUAAACCAUUUUGCUACUGUACAAACAUUUUGACCAUAAAAAUAAAUGAUCUAAAUUGUGAAACUGUAGCUAGCCUGCUGUCAAGUUAAAUAAACAAUGAAGCAAU